rnacentral:rRNA from 1 species
AGAGUUUGAUCCUGGCUCAGGACGAACGCUGGCGGCGUGCUUAACACAUGCAAGUCGAACGAGAAUCUGUGGAUUGAGGAUUCGUCCAAAUGAAACAGAGGACAGUGGCGGACGGGUGAGUAACGCGUGAGGAACCUGCCUUUCAGAGGGGGACAACAGUUGGAAACGACUGCUAAUACCGCAUAACACGUAAGAGUCGCAUGGCUUUUACGUCAAAGAUUUAUCGCUGAAAGAUGGCCUCGCGUCUGAUUAGCUAGUUGGUGAGGUAACGGCCCACCAAGGCGACGAUCAGUAGCCGGACUGAGAGGGUGAUCGGCCACACUGGGACUGAGACACGGCCCAGACUCCUACGGGAGGCAGCAGUAGGGAAUCUUCGGCAAUGGGGGCAACCCUGACCGAGCAACGCCGCGUGAGUGAAGAAGGUUUUCGGAUCGUAAAGCUCUGUUGUAAGAGAAGAACGUGUGUGAGAGUGGAAAGUUCACACAGUGACGGUAACUUACCAGAAAGGGACGGCUAACUACGUGCCAGCAGCCGCGGUAAUACGUAGGGGGCAAGCGUUAUCCGGAUUUACUGGGUGUAAAGGGCGUGUAGACGGGAUGGUAAGUCAGAUGUGAAAUACCGCAGCUUAACUGCGGGGCUGCAUUUGAAACUAUCGUUCUUGAGUGCGGGAGAGGAAAGCGGAAUUCCUAGUGUAGCGGUGAAAUGCGUAGAUAUUAGGAGGAACACCAGUGGCGAAGGCGGCUUUCUGGACCGUAACUGACGUUGAGGCGCGAAAGCGUGGGUAGCAAACGGGAUUAGAUACCUUGGUAGUCCACGCCGUAAACGAUGAAUGCUAGGUGUAGGGGCGCAAGCCUCUGUGCCGGAGUAAACACAAUAAGCGUUCACAGCCUGGGGAGUGCGCCAGCAAGUUUGAAACUCAAAGGAAUUGACGGGAGCCCGCACAAAGCAGUGGAGUAAGUGGUUUUAUUAGACGCAACGCGAAGAACAUUAACAGGACUUGACAUCCCAAGAAGGCUCGAUAAUGAGAGCUAUAACCUUCGGGGAAUUUGGUGACAGGUGGUGCAUGGUUGUCGUCAGCUAGUGUCGUGAGAUGUUGGGUUAAGUCCCGCAACGAGCGCAACCCCUACGUUCAGUUGCUACGCAAGAGCACUCUGGACGGACUGCCGUUGACAAAACGGAGGAAGGCGGGGACGACGUCAAAUCAUCAUGCCCCUUAUGUCCUGGGCUACACACGUACUACAAUGGCGUAAACAAAGAGAAGCAAAAUCGCGAGAUGGAGCAAACCUCAUAAAAGACGUCCCAGUUCAGAAUGCAGGCUGCAACCCGCCUGCACGAAGUUGGAAUUGCUAGUAAUCGCGGAUCAGCAUGCCGCGGUGAAU